AAAUUGAAGAGUUUGAUCAUGGCUCAGAUUGAACGCUGGCGGCAGGCCUAACACAUGCAAGUCGAGCGGUAGCACAGAGAGCUUGCUCUCGGGUGACGAGCGGCGGACGGGUGAGUAAUGUCUGGGAAACUGCCUGAUGGAGGGGGAUAACUACUGGAAACGGUAGCUAAUACCGCAUAACGUCGCAAGACCAAAGUGGGGGACCUUCGGGCCUCAUGCCAUCAGAUGUGCCCAGAUGGGAUUAGCUAGUAGGUGGGGUAACGGCUCACCUAGGCGACGAUCCCUAGCUGGUCUGAGAGGAUGACCAGCCACACUGGAACUGAGACACGGUCCAGACUCCUACGGGAGGCAGCAGUGGGGAAUAUUGCACAAUGGGCGCAAGCCUGAUGCAGCCAUGCCGCGUGUGUGAAGAAGGCCUUCGGGUUGUAAAGCACUUUCAGCGGGGAGGAAGGCGUUAAGGUUAAUAACCUUGGCGAUUGACGUUACCCGCAGAAGAAGCACCGGCUAACUCCGUGCCAGCAGCCGCGGUAAUACGGAGGGUGCAAGCGUUAAUCGGAAUUACUGGGCGUAAAGCGCACGCAGGCGGUCUGUCAAGUCGGA
rnacentral:rRNA from 3 species